AGCGGCGGAUGGGUGAGUAACACGUGGGGAACCUGCCCCUAAGUCUGGGAUACCAUUUGGAAACAGGUGCUAAUACCGGAUAAUAAAGCAGAUCGCAUGAUCAGCUUUUGAAAGGCGGCGUAAGCUGUCGCUAAGGGAUGGCCCCGCGGUGCAUUAGCUAGUUGGUAAGGUAACGGCUUACCAAGGCGACGAUGCAUAGCCGAGUUGAGAGACUGAUCGGCCACAUUGGGACUGAGACACGGCCCAAACUCCUACGGGAGGCAGCAGUAGGGAAUCUUCCACAAUGGACGCAAGUCUGAUGGAGCAACGCCGCGUGAGUGAAGAAGGUUUUCGGAUCGUAAAGCUCUGUUGUUGGUGAAGAAGGAUAGAGGUAGUAACUGGCCUUUAUUUGACGGUAAUCAACCAGAAAGUCACGGCUAACUACGUGCCAGCAGCCGCGGUAAUACGUAGGUGGCAAGCGUUGUCCGGAUUUAUUGGGCGUAAAGCGAGCGCAGGCGGAAAAAUAAGUCUAAUGUGAAAGCCCUCGGCUUAACCGAGGAACUGCAUCGGAAACUGUUUUUCUUGAGUGCAGAAGAGGAGAGUGGAACUCCAUGUGUAGCGGUGGAAUGCGUAGAUAUAUGGAAGAACACCAGUGGCGAAAGCGGCUCUCUGGUCUGCAACUGACGCUGAGGCUCGAAAGCAUGGGUAGCGAACAGGAUUAGAUACCCUGGUAGUCCAUGCCGUAAACGAUGAGUGCUAAGUGU
rnacentral:rRNA from 1 species